rnacentral:rRNA from 1 species
UACGGAGGGGGCGAGCGUUAUUCGGAAUUAUUGGGCGUAAAGGGCGCGUAGGCGGAUCGUUAAGUCGGGGGUGAAAUCCUGGAGCUCAACUCCAGAACUGCCUUCGAUACUGGCGAUCUUGAGUCCGGAAGAGGUGAGUGGAACUCCUAGUGUAGAGGUGGAAUUCGUAGAUAUUAGGAAGAACACCAGUGGCGAAGGCGGCUCACUGGUCCGGUACUGACGCUGAGGUGCGAAAGCGUGGGGAGCAAACAGG